GACGAACGCUGGCGGCGUGCUUAACACAUGCAAGUCGAACGAAGUGGCGAACGGGUGAGUAACGCGUAAUCAACCUGCCCUUCAGAGGGGGACAACAGUUGGAAACGACUGCUAAUACCGCAUACUGAAGGAGGGGAUUGCGUCUGAUAAGCUAGUUGGAGGGGUAACGGCCCACCAAGGCGAUGAUCAGUAGCCGUUCUGAGAGGUGUAACGGCACCAUUGUGAAUGAGAAACGGCCCAGACUCCUACUGGAGGCAGCAGUGGGGAAUCUUCCGAAAUGGACGAAAGUCUGACGGAGCAACGCCGCGUGAGUGAUGACGGCCUUCGGGUUGUAAAGCUCUGUUAAUCGGGACGCGGUACCGGAAUAGAAAGCCACGGCUAACUACGUGCCAGCCGCCGAGGUAAUUC
rnacentral:rRNA from 1 species